rnacentral:lncRNA from 1 species
UGAAAUUUAUCCGGUGAAACAAUGGCGACUCCGGCAUGGAGUCAGGCCAGAGGUCAAUGGGUAGUUGCCAUGUUGGCAUUACUCGUUGGCUCGGCAAUAGCUACCGAACCUUACUAUUAUAGUUCUCCUCCACCACCCUAUGAAUAUAAAUCUCCACCGCCUCCGGUUAAAUCUCCUCCACCUCCUUAUGAAUACAAAUCUCCUCCCCCUCCGGUUAAGUCUCCUCCACCACCGUAUUACUAUCAUUCACCGCCGCCGCCGGUGAAAUCCCCUCCCCCUCCUUAUGUAUACCACUCUCCUCCUCCUCCAGUGAAGUCUCCUCCACCACCUUAUUAUUACCACUCUCCACCACCACCCGUGAAAUCUCCUCCCCCUCCUUAUGUAUAUCACUCUCCUCCACCUCCGAUUAAGUCUCCACCACCACCGUACUACUAUCACUCACCACCACCACCGGUGAAAUCGCCUCCUCCUCCUUACUAUUAUCAUUCUCCACCACCACCGGUUAAAUCUCCACCACCACCAUAUUACUACCAUUCUCCACCACCACCGGUUAAAUCUCCACCACCUCCAUACUACUACCACUCUCCACCUCCUCCGGUCAAGUCUCCACCGCCACCAUACUACUACCACUCUCCACCUCCUCCGGUCAAGUCUCCACCACCACCGUACUACUAUCACUCUCCGCCUCCUCCGGUCAAGUCUCCUCCACCACCGUACUACUAUCACUCUCCACCUCCUCCGGUCAAGUCUCCUCCACCACCAUACUACUACCACUCUCCCCCUCCUCCGGUGAAGUCUCCACCACCACCGUAUUACUACCACUCUCCUCCUCCUCCGGUUAAAUCUCCACCACCACCAUACUACUAUCACUCUCCACCACCACCGGUCAAAUCCCCACCACCACCAUAUUAUUACCAUUCUCCACCACCACCGGUAAAGUCACCACCUCCACCAUAUUAUUACCAUUCUCCUCCUCCUCCGGUAAAAUCACCACCUCCACCAUAUUAUUAUCACUCUCCUCCUCCUCCAGUGAAAUCACCACCUCCACCUUACUAUUACUCAUCCCCACCACCACCAAAAUCUUACCCUCCACCAUACCACUACUCAUCUCCUCCACCACCACCAAAGUCGUACUCGCCACCAUACUACUACUCAUCACCACCACCUCCUGUGUCGUACCCUCAUCCUCACCCACACCCACACCCACAUCCACUUGUCUUCAAAGUUGUAGGUAAAGUGUAUUGUUACAGAUGUUAUGACUGGACUUACCCCAAAAAGUCCCACGAUAAGAAGCAUCUCAAAGGUACUUAAGUUUUCCACGUGUUCAAUAAUUAAUGUCUUAAUCUUAACAGGUUUAUUAAUUAUUUAGACAGAAUUGUUAUCUUGAUGAUUAUAGGAUGAUUACAGGCUUAAAGGAUUUAAAAAACUAGCAUAUAUGUAUUGUAAAGUGGUAGUUGCAUACUUGCAUUGCAUGUAGUCUAUAUUAUUUAUUAGUGGAGAAACGCAAACGAUAAAGUCAAGAAAAAGACAAGAAUCUGUUAUUGACUUAUACAAUCCAAUGAGAUCGAACAAGCAAAAUCAAUUUAGUAGAUACCCAACUAAAAGGACAUAAACUGAUAUUUAAAAUUUAAAUAAUUUGAUUUUUUUUUGUCAUAUAGGUGCUGUUGUAGAAGUGACUUGUAAGGCCGGUGACAAGAUAGUGAAGGCAUACGGAAAGACCAAAAUCAACGGUAAAUAUGCAAUCACCGUUAAGGGAUACAACUACCGUAAAUACGGUGGCGAAGUUUGCACGGCCAAGCUUCACGCGCCGCCUAAAGGCUCACCGUGUAACAUUCCUACAAGCUACCAUAUGGGUAACAAAGGUGCAAAGCUUCAUGUGAAAUCAAAGACAAAGUACGAGGUUGUGCUCUAUGCCAAGUCCUUUGCUUAUGCACCUAAGAAACCUUACGGAGAAUGCCACAAACCAGCUCCUUACCAUCCUCCUUACUACUACAAAUCGCCACCACCACCAUCUCCGGUUUACUACUACAAGUCACCACCACCACCGGCUCCAACCUAUGUCUACAAAUCUCCACCACCACCAACUCCGACUUACGUCUACAAGUCGCCGCCUCCUCCAACCCCAACAUAUGUCUACAAAUCGCCUCCUCCUCCUACCCCAACAUACGUAUACAAGUCUCCUCCACCACCAACUCCAACUUACGUAUACAAAUCACCACCACCGCCGACUCCAACUUACGUCUACAAGUCGCCUCCUCCACCUACGCCAACCUAUGUCUAUAAAUCUCCACCGCCACCAACCCCGACUUAUGUUUACAAGUCACCACCACCUCCGACUCCGACAUACAUUUACAAGUCUCCACCACCUCCUACUCCGACUUAUGUCUACAAGUCACCACCUCCACCAACCCCUACAUAUGUCUAUAAGUCACCACCUCCACCCACUCCGACCUACGUCUACAAGUCACCACCACCUCCAACUCACACUCCUACACCAUACUACUACCAUUCUCCACCACCACCAGUAAAAUCCCCUCCACCUCCUUAUUACUACCACUCACCACCACCACCGGUUAAAUCUCCACCACCACCAUACUACUAUCAUUCACCACCUCCUCUGGUGAAGUCUCCUCCACCACCAUACUAUUACCAUUCACCACCACCUCCAGUAAAAUCUCCUCCCCCCCCAUACUACUAUCACUCCCCACCUCCUCCAGUGAAGUCUCCUCCGCCACCUUACUAUUAUCACUCCCCACCUCCUCCAGUAAAAUCACCACCACCACCAUAUUAUUACCACUCUCCACCUCCUCCCGUGAAAUCCCCCCCACCUCCAUACUACUACCACUCACCACCCCCUCCGGUAAAAUCACCCCCACCACCAUAUUACUAUCACUCCCCACCUCCACCAGUGAAAUCCCCACCACCACCGUACUACUACCAUUCUCCACCCCCACCGGUAAAAUCUCCGCCACCACCAUACUAUUACCACUCCCCACCUCCUCCGGUGAAAUCUCUACCACCACCGUACUAUUACCAUUCACCACCUCCUCCGGUGAAAUCUCCUCCUCCACCAUACUACUAUCACUCACCUCCUCCACCAGUAAAAUCUCCUCCGCCACCGUACUAUUACCACUCUCCACCUCCUCCAGUGAAGUCGCCUCCACCUCCUUAUUACUACCACUCACCUCCUCCUCCGGUGAAAUCCCCACCACCACCAUAUUAUUACCACUCACCACCCCCACCCGUCAAAUCUCCUCCACCUCCAUAUUAUUACCACUCACCACCUCCUCCGGUGAAAUCUCCACCACCACCAUAUUAUUACCACUCACCUCCUCCUCCGGUGAAAUCUCCACCACCACCAUAUUACUACCAUUCACCUCCCCCUCCAGUCAAAUCUCCACCACCACCAUAUUACUACCAUUCACCUCCCCCUCCAGUGAAAUCCCCACCACCACCAUAUUACUACCAUUCACCACCUCCUCCAGUGAAAUCUCCACCACCACCAUACUACUACAACUCUCCACCACCACCAGUAAAAUCUCCCCCACCUCCCGUCUACAUCUACGCUUCUCCCCCACCUCCUACCCAUUACUAGGCUCGUCAAAUUCAACCAAGUUUCCCCAUUAUUCAAGUAAGUCCCAAGGCUCCAAUAUUCUAAGUAUGCUCCAUAUC